UGGGGAAUAUUGGACAAUGGGCGCAAGCCUGAUCCAGCCACGCCGCGUGAGUGAUGAAGGCCUUCGGGUUGUAAAGCUCUGUGGGGAGGGACGAAAACGGCCGGAACUAAUACGUCCGGUCCUUGACGGUACCUCCUUAGCAAGCACCGGCUAACUCUGUGCCAGCAGCCGCGGUAAUACAGAGGGUGCGAACGUUGCUCGGAAUUACUGGGCGUAAAGCGCGUGUAGGCGGGUUCGUAAGCCAGAUGUGAAAUCCCCAGGCUCAACCUGGGAACUGCAUCUGGAACUGUGAGCCUUGAGUGCCGGAGAGGGUGGCAGAAUUCCUGGUGUAGAGGUGAAAUUCGUAGAUAUCAGGAGGAACACCGGUGGCGAAGGCGGCCACCUGGACGGCAACUGACGC
rnacentral:rRNA from 1 species